GUCCUCUGGAUAAUUUUAUUCAGGUCUGCUCAUCAGGAAGCUGCUCUGGCUCCUGCUCUGAUGGUCUAGCCAGACUCUGGAUGCUGCCCUCAUAUCUGGAAGAAGAGCAAUGCACUGCAAGGGCUUCUGAAGAGAGCAGGGCAUGCUACAGAUACAGUGACUGGAUUCCCUCCAGAACUGCCUGUUAUCCUCAUUAGGACAGAAUUACCACUUCUUCCAACCGGCCACUGGAUCUCCUUUUGGAUGUCAAACACAGGAGAAAAGCAGAGAACUUGUGUUGGACUUGGGAACAGUGACUGGAAAGAUUAUAAACCUGGUUACCAGCUCUAGCUGAAAUUACUGCCUGAGUUCAUCAAGGGAUAAGUUUGCUUGGUGAUUGAAGUUUAAAACAGAACUAUGUG
rnacentral:lncRNA from 1 species